UACAGAGGGUGCGAGCGUUAAUCGGAAUUACUGGGCGUAAAGCGCGCGUAGGCGGCUUUGCAAGUCGCGUGUGAAAUCCCCAGGCUUAACCUGGGAACUGCAUUCGAGACUGCAUUGCUAGAGUAUGGGAGAGGGAAGUGGAAUUUCCGGUGUAGCGGUGAAAUGCGUAGAUAUCGGAAGGAACAUCAGUGGCGAAAGCGACUUCCUGGACCAAUACUGACGCUCAUGUGCGAAAGCGUGGGGAGCAAACAGG
rnacentral:rRNA from 1 species